rnacentral:pre_miRNA from 1 species
GGGGUGUGGUCGGAUCCUGGGCUGUCUCCCUGGCGCCCAGUGCUCCCGGGCCUGAGCUGUUGGGAUUCGCGCUCCCGGCCGCGCAGCCCCCU